UACGAACCGGACAAACGUUAUUCGGAAUUAUUGGGCUUAAAGGGUGCGUAGGCGGCGCGGUAAGUGAGGUGUGAAAGCCCACGGCUCAACCGUGGAACUGCGCUUCAUACUGCCGUGCUUGAGGGAGACAGAGGUAAGCGGAACUGAUGGUGGAGCGGUGAAAUGCGUUGAUAUCAUCAGGAACACCGGUGGCGAAAGCGGCUUACUGGGUCUCUUCUGACGCUGAGGCACGAAAGCUAGGGUAGCGCACGGG
rnacentral:rRNA from 1 species